rnacentral:tRNA from 1 species
GCCUGGGUGGCUCAGUCGGUUGAGCGUCCGACUUCGGCUCGGGUCAUGAUCUCACGGUCUGUGGGUUCGAGCCCCACGUCGGGCU